UUCGGGGAUAGUAUUCGAUGAAAAACUGGGACAACUCCAUAGUCCAUGCCGCUAGUCUUCCUGAAACUUCUGGCUUGCCCAUCACCUUCUUCAAUGGCUGAUCCGUGUAGACGACCAGGAGCCGACCUUGAAAAUACUGCCGAAGCUUUCUACUAGCAAUUAUUAAAGCAAAGGCAAAUUUCUCAAUAUUCGGAUAUCUGGU
rnacentral:lncRNA from 1 species